UACGUAGGGUCCGAGCGUUGUCCGGAUUUAUUGGGCGUAAAGAGCUCGUAGGCGGCUCAGUAAGUCGGAUGUGAAAACUCAGGGCUCAACCCUGAGACGCCAUCCGAUACUGCUGUGGCUUGAAUCUGGUAGGGGAGCACGGAAUUCCUGGUGUAGCGGUGAAAUGCGCAGAUAUCAGGAGGAACACCGGCGGCGAAGGCGGGUCUCUGGGCAGUAACUGACGCUGAGGAGCGAAAGCGUGGGGAGCGAACAGG
rnacentral:rRNA from 1 species